CCCACUUAGUAAAGGACUGUGGCUAAUCUGCAUAUGCACAUUAGCUCUAUUACCUGUUAGCGGAUUAAAAAGCUUUAAAACAAAGAGGAAGUAGGAAAAGAACUACAUUUCCCAUCUGCCCUGGCUGUCACAGGCUAAUAGCACCAGCUGCUUUCCAUUGCCCUAAGGAGUGAUUCUACUGCUGCAACGAGACCAAAUACAACGAAAGUAUUGAUGCUGCAAAAGAAGACGGAUCUUUUGGUAGGCUGGUUAAUGAUGACCACAAGCACCCAAAUGGCAGAAUGCAGAAGACUGAAGUGGAUGGAAGCCCACAUCUUGGUCUGUUUGCUUUAACAGACUUUAAAGAAGGUGAUGAAAUUACCUACAAUUACGGAGGAGGAGACUGGCCUUGGUGUAGCAAGGUAUGCAGGGUAUCUCCCUCUCUGUUUUCACAAUUUAAAAAUUAUUCAAAAAUAAACAUUGUCUUAUCCGGUAGUGGUGCAAUUCAUUUUUGUUGCACAACUAAUUUUGUGCUUGUGCAUUAACAA